rnacentral:lncRNA from 1 species
UUUGGAGUAGAAGGAUGUUUUGAAUACAUGAUAUAUACAAUGUAAUGUGACUAAUUUUUUAUUUUACUAAGCAAUACUUCAAUGUCUUUGUUUACUUCCCUCGUCAACUAAUUUUUUAAGAUGCUCGUUUCUAAAAGAGUGGAAUAUUUUAUUUAAUGUUUGUACCAUGAUUGCCUUAAGGCUGUGGAUGUUGAUUGUUUCUUUACAUGAGACUUAAUAAAUUUAGUAAGCAAAGCGAAUUCAAAUUUGUUGGUUCAUAUUUUUGCAGUGACUUCUACUGAACGCGGAUUUUUUUUUUUCUUUUCCGUUAGAAUAAUAUUUGUUUAUUCCGAAGUAAGCCGUUUGUGAUGUGGCUGAAAUGUCACGGAAUCAUUUGCUCCAACAGAUAUUUUACCCUUCAAUUGUUUGUGCAUUACAUUGUAGCAUGAAGUACCUGAGUGGGAGCUUGUUCUGACUUUCUUCCGAAAAGUACAAAAUAUGAAUGACAUGUGGUUUUCUAGUGGAAAGAAAAGAGGUUUGGAUUAAAUUUAUUGAUACAAAAAGCAAUAAUGUUUUGUUUACAUUAUGAAGAAUGUGGAAUUCUAGCAUAUUUUUUCAUAUCCUCAAAGAGAAUCACUUCAAAGUGAUUUGUUUUGUAAACAAAGCAAACAAAUCCAAAAUGAUUUUCUAUGAACGUUCAGGAUUUUACUUACAGAAUCAUAUUGAACUGCUAUUCUCUUUCAAUAGUUUUUCCGAUGAUUCUUUUUUGGAGUGAAUGCAAAAAACGAUCGCCUACAUGGCGAAGUAGUAUUGAAAACGAAAAAUGCUAAUACUGCUUUAUUUUUAGUAAAAGCCUCAGUUCUAGAGAAUACAAUACCAGCUUCAAUAUAGAAGUGUAUACUAAACCUUCUGUAAUACGUUAUUUUACAGCUUUUGAAAUCCGUGCCCAAAGAUCUGCUUAAUUGGAAACACAAAAUAGGAACAAUAUGUUUGAGGUACUUUUUCUGAGGAUUAUCAAAUUAUCUAGGUAAAUUAAAAGAUUACAAAAUGAGCGAAUUAAAUGACGACUAAGUACAUAACUUUUCAGUCAAAGUGAAUAUUUAUUUCGUGCAACACAUGUAUUCCUAAAAAGCAUGGAAAUUCAUUUUUUCCUUCUGUUUAUUUGAAAAGUUCAUAUUUAAAUAUACAUUUAAUACUUUAAUUUAAAUGAUUGAUCUCCUACAAAUAAAUUCGAUUGAUUACAGAACUUUUGAUCAAUUGUAACUGCUACAAAAACAAGCAGUGUAAUUUCAUUGACUUCCAUUAAAUCACAUCAAAAGGGCUGAAACAUUUUAGGAAGUGAAAGACAUGAACUCGUCAUCAACUUAAUGAUCACUUCCGUACUUUCCAGCCUUUGGGUUUCUAGGAUCAUUGCGAUACUCCGCAGCUACAUAGAGUUAAAAAAUUGUUCUAUUUCUAUUAAAAACGUACAAUCCAUCAUAGCAUCACGAAGCUUUACAGUACCAUAGAAUACGAUGGCUCCUGUCAAGACAUGUUAAUAAUAAUUCAAAUCGUUGAAAAAUAUACAUACCCCCUAGAAAAAAAGGAAGCAUAGGUUUUAAAAUAGGAGUAGAAUAUCUUUUAAGGCCAAAGAACGACAUUUCUCUGAUUCCGAUUUCUGUUUAAAUGGAGAUGGGAGUGGAGAGGUUAAGUUAAAGGCAAUCACUGGGAGUCUCAAUAUUAGGAUAUGUCAACGAUGUCGAUUUCUAGUGUAUUAUUUUUUUAAUUUUAUUUUCUUUUAAAAGAAUUCUAAAAUAAUAAAAAAAAUUACUCUUUUUUGGUAGUAGCUUCAGUCUGAUGGAACCAAAUUUUGAAGUGCUAGUUAAAUGGACAUGCUAAAUUAAAGUUCGAACUUACACAAUUACAUCCAUAACACAUAUUAGCGUUUGUUUUUAAAUUCGGGAUUAGACUGAUUGACUGAAGACAACCUUUCGCAGUUACAGUCGAGUCUCUUUUAACUACUUGAAAACAGUAAGAGAAUUUUUUCUUUUUUCAUCAUAUGACUUGUUGUUCGUUAGAUAGCAUGAAAAUACAAAACUCUUUGAGUCAAACUCGCGU